CUUCUUCUUCUGCCGUAAUUCAUCUCUCUCUCUCUUUGAAAUUCACACUUUGAAAUUCCGACUAUGAGCGAGCAUGUUGCUGGUGGGUUCGAGAUUGGCGAUGAUUGGAUCUGGCCUUUCUAAGAAGGCGACAACUGAAAAGCAGUACAGCUGGUCUCCUGUUCCCCAUUGGCCGAUUAGCUCGAUUUCGUAAGAAGGACGAGUACGCCGAACGUGUUGGUGUCGUUGCUUGGAUUUAGUUAGCCGCCGAGCUUGCAGUGAGAAACGAUGGGGAGCUGUGUGAGUUGGUUGGUGAUGUGAAGAUUUCUAAUGGAGGUGUUGUUGGGUUGUUGUUCUUAUUCUCGUUCUCUCUUCGUUUCGUUUUCUUUCGUUUCUAAUUGUAAGUCUUCUUUGGUUCAUUAUACAUUUCUUUGUUCUGAUGUUUGUGAGAUCGUGUUAAACCCAAUCGUUUCCCAGUUCUAUUGUAGUUUGUAGAAACUCACUUUGAUUUUGUCGAUGAAAUCUAACCUAUUGUAUGAUAUCGUUGAGUUUCAUGAUCUUCUCUUCCGUUGGUUUUCAAUCAUUUGUCAUAGAUGUUCCUGCCUUGCUUCAAUUUCCACCUGUAUUGCUCAAAGGUGCCUCUUUUUUUUAUGUAUUGUUUUGUUUAGUUUUAUUUGCCUUGUAUUUGUAGGAGAAAUGGCUGAAACCAAGGUAGUGGUUCCAGAGUCUGUCUUGAAAAAGAUCAAGAGGCAAGAGGAAUGGGCUCUGGCCAAGAAAGAGGAAACUGUUGCUGCCAAGAAGAAGAGUGUUGAGACCCGUAAGCUUAUCUUCAAGAGAGCUGAGCAGUAUGCCAAAGAGUACGCUGAGAAGGUCAAUCUUUAACAUUCAUCACAAAAGCAAAAGACUUCCUAUAUGGGGAAAGCAAAGCAAGCUCCAUUUCCCUCGUUUCAAGCUCAGCCAUUAACCCUUGAUAUUUUUAAUUAUGUUUUUAGUUUGAUUUUGUAAUACAUUUUUUUGUUAUAUCAUGGUUUCAUAA